UCCCCAGUGGCUCAGUGGUAAAGUAUCUGCCUGCAAUGCAGGAGACACAGGUUUGAUCCCUGGGUCAGGAA
rfam:Ovis aries breed Texel chromosome 9, whole genome shotgun sequence.